UGUGUUGGAUGAUUACCUAGAUGAAUGUCAUAGUUUGGUUGAUAUAUUGCAUAUUGUGUUUUUAACCACAAACGUUAACGUUGUUGUCUGUGGGAUUUUAUAUAGUAUAGUUUAACCUAUAACGGUAUUCCAGUCGCCUAUCUUGACGCAAAGCCUCGAGUUCGAAAGUCGAUCGAUCGAGAUAGUAAGUCGAUCGAUCAUCAAAUACUGUUUAAAAUAUGCUGCCAUUGCUGUUCACCUCAUUGUACAGUUUUCUUUCAGGAUCUCUAAUUUUACUUCCAUGCUGGACUAAGUGCCUUUUAACCACCUGUGGAUUCUUUUGGUAUCUUUUUUGAUAGUCUGACUUUUUGUCCAUCUGAUGUAACGAAUGCCUCACCCGAGCCGACAGUUCGAUGCCACAGUACUUGCAUUUUUCUAUCGUCGACGUUCCCGGGGUGUUGUUCAGCCUGUGGAUGGUGGAUGCAGCUCUUCCAGUCAUCGUCCGUGAAUAGUUCACAUUUUUAGCUCUGUGAAUCGGUGUGUACCCAGGAACAUGGAUCGAUGCUACCAGUUAUUCUUUAUUCCUCCAAUGCAGACGACCGAGUACCGUGAACACUUUGAACAGUCACCACCGUAGCACAAAAGUGUCGAUUACAGAACCUUUGGCUCGUCGCACUCGAGGGAAGCUGUGGAGUGGUAUUUGAAAGCUGCAUUCCAUUCAUCUACCAUUCUGUCAUUGUCCAUUGUUCUCAUGCCUUCUUUGUCUUUGCACUGUUGUUCUUCUUUCAUUUCAAAUGCAGUACAUGUACUCUUAAUGGGACGCAGCAGCCGGACUGGCUGUGACGCACCUUCGCAAUCUGGAGUGGAUAUGGUGGCUGAAGUGAAACUCGACUUCGUGACCAAGACAAACUCCUCUAUAUUCAUCCAGCGUACAGGUUGCAACUUCUCGGUCUCCGAUUCUGGACUUGCAUGUUCAUGUGGCAUAGUUUUACCCUUAUUCCAAGGUGUAUGUCCCUUCUUGAACUGUGUAUUUCGUCUUGUAUUGCCUUCCAUGGAUGUCACUUGUAGUGUAUAAAACAGUGAAAUACUUAUUGUGGUAUGCAUGUCCACACUUAUAUAUAUCAGGCCAUGUGUGAUGUCACCUUCAUUUUUAAUACAUUAAAACAUUUC